UGAAUAAAAGGACCAGCAAAUAGAAUGAAGUUUGAUUGAAAUUACAUCUGGUUUCCCUUAGAAGUCAAGCUAUGAAGUACUUUAUAGUCGUAAACUAAGCAGCUGGAGAGACGUGUUUGUCAAGAGCGCUGUUGACCCAUUUGGGAGGGGUUUAGUGUAAUGGUUCCACUCUCCACUAGAUGGCGAUGCUUAACUUACUGGAGUAGAUCGCUGUGGUGUGUGUAGGUGUGUAUGCGCACGCACCAGUGAGGUGAAAAUGGCAUCAUCCAGCUAUCCAGUCUCUAGUUUUCGAACUCUGUGCUCUCCACGACUGGCAAUCAAGCACCCCUCCUUUGUCUCUGGCUUCCAUCCACUCCUGGCUUCUACACUGUGACCAAGGCAUCGGGCUGCCAGGCCGCACUUCCUCCUGCGUUUUAUCUGAAAUGGAGCUGUGUUUCCCGACCCCUCACUUCUGAGGGACUGUGGCUUUGACCCACUCAGAUCUUCUGGGCGAGGGUGUCGCUGAGCAAUGGCUGGGUGCCUUCCUACCCCCGGGAACUUUCGCAAGACCGUGCUGCUGCCAAUGCCCAGAGACUGCGGCUGGGUGCCAGCCCACCCCAGAAAAAGUUCCUGCCAUCUUGUAGCAGCAGCGUUUCAGGGUUUUUGGAAAAAUCACAACACACCUCUGGUGCCAGGUUUCACCCUUAACGUCCUUUUUCCAGCACUAGUGAAUGUGGUUGUUCUCAGGGGUCUGCUGGGAUCUUUUUCUGUGGAGUAGCUGCACAGCCUCUACCAAGUGUCCUCCCAGCAGGGGAACUGGCUCUCCCUGUGUAGCCCUUGGACCUCGCAGUCUGCUCCUGAGGAUUCGCCCUUCCCACCAGAGCACCACCAGGUCUCGAGCCUGCUUUUCAGUCUGGAAUUACACCAUGGACUCUCCUGUUUCUCAGACCUUGUACUCAAGACUGGAAUUAUAUCACUGGCUCUCCUAAGUCUCCAGUUUACUGAAUCAUCCUGAAGAUGUUGGGACUUGACAGACAUAAUCAUAUGGAGGACUGCAACAUCUCACACCCUGCUUUCCUCAGUGUUGGUAGAAGGAUUGCCAUUCUCUUCAUUUUCUACUAUCAGGUAAGAAUU